rnacentral:lncRNA from 1 species
CUGUGGAAAAGGAAUAGGGAACCAAGACUAAGUUGGAUUUGACUCUUGAUUGCUAUGACCUGGACCUCAGGGCAAAAAAUGUUUAAUUGUGCCAUUUAUAAGCAACUCAAGCUUGGCUCAUGAGAAGUUUCUCCGAGAAUUCUCAUUUGAUUAAAAAGGAAAAGAGAUACUCCAGAUCAAAUUACAUUUUAGAAUAGUUUAAAAAUAACCAAACACAAGCACUC